rnacentral:lncRNA from 1 species
CAGUUAACUGCAGUCAUUUCAUCCCUCUCCAUUCUCCCUCUCCCCAAAUCCAAAGAAGUGCUCGUUGCUCCUGCAGUUGUUCCCUCACGAACAGAUCCGAGCGCUCCUGCAGGGAUGGCCGAUGCUGCUGGCCAGGCGAGUCAUCCACAAGCUUGCUUGCUUUUUUUUUCAUGGCACAUCAUAGAUCUGAUUGGGCUUGUAUGGGUUCCAGGUUUUUUUGUUUUGUAUCAAGUACUAUUGGUUUAUUAGUUUCAAGCAAGAGAAUCGCCCCCCAGUGUGUAGCUCUUUUUUUUAUUAGAUUUUAAUUUUUUUGUGUUCGUGUAUAUUAAGAUGUAUGCUGAAUUUUUAGUGGUAUAUGUAGGUUUGCAUGUAUCCAUAUAAUGUAGAUUCGUUUUUUUUUCAUGGACAUAUGUUUGAUUACAGUAAUCUAGAGUUACUAAAACUAUGUUUUUUCAUGGACAAAGGUGUUGGAUGGUUACUGAAACUAUUUUUUCUACUAGGAGUUUGUUUUUCUGUUACUAAAUCUUUUUGUGUCUCAGUAGAAGUUGAAAUCAUGCCCAUGGAAAGUAGAGCAUGAUGAAUCUUUUUCAGUGGACCCAUUUUUUUACCAGCAGUGUAUGUGGCGUCUCGUUUCUUAGAUUUUUUAAUCCCAACCCAUUUACUUGUGUGGCACUUGUUUUUUUUUUUAAUUUUUUUUGUAAGUUUCUUCUUAGGAGGCUAUAUCAAGUUAAGAUUUUUUUAUAGAACUAUUAGUAAAGCCAAGUAGCUAUAAUAGAUUUUUUUCCUGGAACUAGUAGCACCACCAUUUCCUAUGCUUGUAGGUACUUUUCUAGAGAAGUUUGUUCUUUUCUUAGGGUUCUUUUAGCUGAGAAUAUUCUGGUCUAGCAUUCAGCAAAAGUACUAGUCAACACUUUUAUUAGUUCAUGCUAUGACUUUUUAUUUUCUGAACACUUUAGUGGAACAGUGCACUUUUCCUAGCAUGAUAGCAAAAAUUAAUCUAGUCAUGUGUCAAGGGGAACAGUGCACUUUUGUUAUAUGUCAAUCCUGAAACUGGGAUUUACUGCAUUAAUGAAACUGUUAGUUCUGAAAUUUGUUUUUAAUUUUGUUUUUAUUAGUUUAACUAUAACUUAAACCUUUUUUAAAAUCUGUUAAAUCUGGAAAGGGUUCUACUUUUUGUUGCUAGUUUUAAUCUGAAACUGCUUUUUAAUUUGUCUUUUUGUUAAACUUUUUUGUGGCACACAGAAAAUCCCCAAGAAAGUUGUUGUUGUUGUGCCAUUUGAGGAACAGGGUGUUGUGGGUGUUUAUGUUGAUGGUGGGAAAUUCAGAAAAAUCCCAUACCACACUUGACACUUCUGAUGACGGUCGCAUUGUGUUGGACAGCGAGAAGUGGAAGGAGUUCAUAGCUAGCAGAGGCCUCGCGGUCAAUUCAGCAAUUCUCAUUGGCUUCAAGGAGAGCAUGGCCGGCGGUGUUGAUGUCUUGCUCGGGAUCAAGAUUCUAGUCUAGGCACCCUUUGACCAGGGGGAACGAAAGACAAUACAUCUAUGAUAUGUCAAGACCCGACGAACCUUUUUUUACGCUAUGUUAAACUCUUUGUUAGUUAACUCGUAUCUCAAGAACCGUCGUUAUGUGUUGAUAUUUAAUGCCACUCUAUGUUUGUUAUGCUUUUCAUGGGAAAACUAUGUGUAUUUUCUAUCCAUGUUUUAAUUUUUUUUGUUUCCCCCCAUGAUGAAGCAUCUAUGUUUCAGGCUGUCUUUAUAUCUUCUUUUUUAUGUGCAUUUAUUGUGUUUUGUAGUUUCAUUAUUUUUUCAAAACGCUCCCACGAACGAGAGAAACAAUUCAGAGAUGAUGUUCUGAAACGAAAAUAACAAAGCAUAUACGUGUUGUUCAUUUUUGAAGGGUUUUUUAAAGAAAUGCUGGACAAUCGUUUAGAUUUUGUUUUGCACAAUCGUUUUGUUUAAGAAUUACUAUGAUUUUUUUCUUUUUGUAGGGGUUUUGUUUUCCACUACUUUUUACGAAGGGACUUUUUUAACCAACAUGGUUUGCAACUAGUCUUAUUUGCUUGGUCGGAAUGUCACACGAGCACUAUAACACUGCCGUUUUCUGCCAUGCCCGCUAACACAAAUCAAGCAUCCGAUCUCACAACUACUUUGUGGUUUUUUCUUAUUUUUUAAAAAUCAUAUACAAUUUAUUUCCUUCUUUUGCAUUUAAUUUUUUGUUUUUACCAAGGAUUAAGAAAAAAUCAAUUUUGUUUGUUGUAUCUGAUUCUGACAGCGGAGCUCAUUUUCUCAAAAAACAAGGAGCAUAUUAAAGGAGAGAAGAGCAGCUUGGGGACCUUUGUUUUCUCGCAGGGGGUGGCGCCGAGAGAGGGGG